CCUACGGGAGGCAGCAGUGGGGAAUAUUGGACAAUGGGGGCAACCCUGAUCCAGCCAUGCCGCGUGCGGGAAGAAGGCCUUCGGGCUGUGAACCGCUUUUAGUCGGGAAGAAAAGGCGCCACCUAAUACGGGGCGUUCUUGACGGUACCGGCGGAAUAAGCACCGGCUAACUACGUGCCAACAGCCGCGGUAAUACGUAGGGUGCGAGCGUUAAUCGGAAUUACUGGGCGUAAAGCGUGCGUAGGCGGUUCGUUAAGUUUGUCGUGAAAGCCCCGGGCUCAACCUGGGAAUGGCGAUGGAAACUGGCGGGCUGGAGUAUGGCAGAGGGGGGUGGAAUUCCGCGUGUAGCAGUGAAAUGCGUAGAGAUGCGGAGGAACACCGAUGGCGAAGGCAGCCCCCUGGGCCAAUACUGACGCUCAGGCACGAAAGCGUGGGGAGCAAACAGGAUUAGAUACCCUGGUAGUCCACGCCCUAAACGAUGCUCACUAGGUGUUGGGGAAGCGAUUCCUUGGUACCGUAGCUAACGCGUGAAGUGAGCCGCCUGGGGAGUACGGCCGCAAGGUUAAAACUCAAAGGAAUUGACGG
rnacentral:rRNA from 1 species